rnacentral:ribozyme from 1 species
CUAAGUCAUAUUCAUGAAUAUUGGUACCAUAACCUCACUUUUAGACAUUUGUAAAGGUAGAUAGCACCACCAGAGGCCCAUUCGUCAAACACUGACAUGUCUCUCCAAAUAUCUGAGCUUGGGUAUACGGGGAAACCCAACCCCUUGGGAAGAUGGGGGAUAUGGCUAAAUUGAGCGGA